rnacentral:rRNA from 1 species
AUUGAACGCUGGCGGCAGGCUUAACACAUGCAAGUCGAGCGGAGAUGAGGUGCUUGCACCUUAUCUUAGCGGCGGACGGGUGAGUAAUGCUUAGGAAUCUGCCAUUUAGUGGGGGACAACAUUCCGAAAGGAAUGCUAAUACCGCAUACGUCCUACGGGAGAAAGCAGGGGAUCUUCGGACCUUGCGCUAAAUGAUGAGCCUAAGUCGGAUUAGCUAGUUGGUGGGGUAAAGGCCUACCAAGACGACGAUCUGUAGCGGGUCUGAGAGGAUGAUCAGCCACACUGGGACGGGGACACGGCCCAGACUCCUACGGGAGGCAGCAGUGGGGAAUAUUGGACAAUGGGCGGAAGCCUGAUCCAGCCAUGCCGCGUGUGUGAAGAAGGCCUUUUGGUUGUAAAGCACUUUAAGCGAGGAGGAGGCUACUAGUACUAAUACUACUGGAUAGUGGACGUUACUCGCAGAAUAAGCACCGGCUAACUCUGUGCCAGCCGCCGCCGUAACAC